rnacentral:rRNA from 1 species
CCUACGGGUGGCAGCAGUGAGGAAUAUUGGUCAAUGGGCGGAAGCCUGAACCAGCCAAGUAGCGUGCAGGAUGACGGCCCUACGGGUUGUAAACUGCUUUUAUACGGGAAUAACGCGCCUUACGUGUAGGGCUUUGCAUGUACCGUAUGAAUAAGGACCGGCCAAUUCCGUGCCAGCAGCCGCGGUAAUACGGGAGGUCCGGGCGUGAGCGGGAUUGAUUGGGUUUAAAGGGAGCGUAGGCCGCAUGUCAAGCGUGCUGUGAAAUGUCCGGGCUGAACCCGGGCCUUGCAGCGCGAACUGGAGUGCUUGAGUCCGCGGAAGGCAGGCGGAAUUCGUCGUGUAGCGGUGAAAUGCGUAGAUAUGACGAAGAACCCCGAAGGCGAAGGCAGCUUGCUGCAGCGGAACUGACGCUGAUGCUCGAAAGCGCGGGUAUCGAACAGGAUUAGAUACCCUGGUAGUC